UACGGAGGGAGCUAGCGUUGUUCGGAAUUACUGGGCGUAAAGCGCACGUAGGCGGCUAUUCAAGUCGGGGGUGAAAGCCCGGGGCUCAACCCCGGAACUGCCCUCGAAACUAGGUAGCUAGAAUCUUGGAGAGGCGAGUGGAAUUCCGAGUGUAGAGGUGAAAUUCGUAGAUAUUCGGAAGAACACCAGUGGCGAAGGCGGCAUCCUGGACCGAGAUUGACGCUGAGGCGCGAGAGCUAGGGGAGCAAACGGG
rnacentral:rRNA from 1 species